CCUACGGGAGGCAGCAGUGGGGGAUAUUGCACAAUGGGGGGAACCCUGAUGCAGCGACGCCGCGUGGGUGAAGGAGUGCUUCGGCAUGUAAAGCCCUAUCGGCAGGGAAGAAGCAAGACGGUACCUGACUAAGAAGCCCCGGCUAACUACGUGCCAGCAGCCGCGGUAAUACGUAGGGGGCGAGCGUUAUCCGGAUUCACUGGGUGUAAAGGGAGCGUAGACGGCCAAGCAAGCCAGGGGUGAAAGCCCGGGGCGCAACCCCGGGACUGCCCUUGGAACUGCAUGGCUGGAGUGCGGGAGGGGCAGGCGGAAUUCCUGGUGUAGCGGUGAAAUGCGUAGAUAUUAGGAGGAACACCAGUGGCGAAGGCGGCCUGCUGGGCUUUUACUGACGCUGAGGCUCGAAAGUGUGGGGAGCAAACAGGAUUAGAUACCCGAGUAGUC
rnacentral:rRNA from 1 species